rfam:Myotis davidii contig49561, whole genome shotgun sequence.
GGCGGUUCUCGGGUGAUGCACCCUUGAAUUGGGCUCCCUCCUCUCUGGUUCUGUGUGUGCCGUCAUCUGAAAACCACA